rnacentral:rRNA from 1 species
CAUAUUACCGAAGCUGUGGACUACACCAUUAGGUGUAGUGGUAGGAGAGCGUUCUAAGGGCGUUGAAGGUCGAUCGUGAGGACGGCUGGAGCGCUUAGAAGUGAGAAUGCCGGUAUGAGUAGCGAAAGACAGGUGAGAAUCCUGUCCACCGUAUGACUAAGGUUUCCUGGGGAAGGCUCGUCCGCCCAGGGUUAGUCGGGACCUAAGCCGAGGCCGAUAGGCGUAGGCGAUGGACAACAGGUUGAUAUUCCUGUACCAGUUGUUUUUGUUUGAGCAAUGGAGGGACGCAGUAGGCUAAGGAAUGCAUGCGAUUGGAAGUGCAUGUCCAAGCAAUGAGUCUUGAG